GUGUUCACUUUGGCAUCACGUAUACUAAAAUUGGAAUGAUACGGAGAAGAUUAGCAUGGCCCCUGAGCAAGGAUGACUUGCAAAUAUUAUUGGGAAGCCUAAAAGAUAUUC